GAAAGCCUUUCGUCAGCGCCGGUGACGAGCACGCCGCUGGGCGGUAGCUGUGGGCUGACUUUUGCCAGACGCUGCUCCUUGCUGGAAGCGCAGCUGUUGACGCAGAGUUGGCAAGAGGCGCACGAUUUUCUUCCAGGUCACUCCCAUCCCCGCAGUUGUCAAUGCCCUUCUCAUCGCACACCAGACUGAGUGGGAUACACUUUCCGUUCCUGCAAGUGAAGUAAGGCUCACUGCUGCACAAAGAGUGGUUGAAACCUGAGGAGGAAGAGUGAGUGAGUGAGUGAGUGAGUGAGUGAGUGAGUGAGUGAGUGAGUGAGUGAGUGAGUGAUCGAGUGAGUGAUCGAGUGAGUGAUCGAGUGAGUGAUCGAGCGAGUGAUCGAGCGAGUGAUCGAGCGAGUGAUCGAGCGAGUGAUCGAGUGAGUGAUCGAGCGAGUGAUCGAGUGAGUGAUCGAGCGAGUGAUCGAGCGAUCGAGCGAGUGAGCGAGCGAGUGAGUGGCAAGUCUACAUCAAAGAGGGGCAAAACAUUCAUCAAUAAACACGCGAAAGAACCGGGCUAUCAUGCUGUGGCGCCUUCCGUUGCGGCGCCUUCCGUUGUGGUUCCUUGCUCAGUCCACUUUGUUGUCCUCAAAGGAAUGCCCAUUCCCAUUGAGAUGCAAAUGAACUACAGAGUCCUCCUAAAUUGUGCCAUCUAUUUGUGCCCUUUGAUGGGGGUGACCAUGAGGAGAUUUAGGGAACCUUUAGGAUUCAAAUCCCCUCAGGAAGUGUGCAAAUGCCUGUUUACCAAGUCUGAAGGAUGUGAAGUCCCCCACAAAGUCCACUCUGGGCUGAGUACCACGGGUGACCAGUCGCAGGGUCAGGUAGUUUCCUGUGGAGAGCACCGGCCGCGGUGGACUCUUGCCACAAAGAGGAGGUCCGAGAAGAGGCGAGCUCCUGUCCCGUCCGUCGUAAAAUUGAACGAAGGAGCCCGCGUGACAGGGAUCCCCCCCUGAGCUUUCCUCAGAGGUGGGCUCCACUUUUGCGUCCAGUGCUAGCAGGGGCGCCGGGCUCAGAGGGGCAACUCGCAACAAACUGUAAACAAGGAAAAAGCGAAAGUGGAACUGGACCUUGUCCUUCGGGGAGCUGCCUUGCAUGGUCAGAUGGCAGUCGGUCCCCAUUGUGACAAAGUAGUACUUUUUGGAUUCUUGAUGGGAGUUGAUGAUCAUGCCGUCGCCCCGGAUGGUCUGACCGCAGAAAUCCACCACAUUCACUGAGGAGACCAGCAAGCAAUCCAUGAGCAUUAUGACCAGACUUGCAAGCAGCCAGUGCUCUGCACACAUCAGAGAUGCUUUUAUCUGUCCCUACAAAUAUUUUCAACACUGAUUGAUUAAAAACACGUUGUGACAAGUCCGCCUGUUGACAAGUCGAACCCUACACGAAUGAAUAAUACUCCAUAUAUUGUUUUACAAAUGACAUUAUUAUUUGUAUUAUUGGUGUUGUUGUUGUUAUUCAAACCUGGCGUGCGUGCUAGAGAAAAAAACAAGGGCAAAUUCAUAAUCAGCGCAAAAGAAUGGAGGAAAAAAAAACCCUCAUUUUGUUUCAAUUUGCUGACCACCACUAAUGAAACAUGUGACGUUUGUCAAAUAAACAUAAAAUAGAUCGUA